CAAGCGGUUCCCAAACUGUGCCGGGGCGUCGCAAAAUGUUUCCCCGGUGCUAUGAUCAUAGCACCGGGAAAUAUUACUUCUCAACAGGUGCACGGCCGGGCCCCUGUGGUGUCGGCAGGCUAGGAGGAAGUGACAGUGUCACUUCCAACCAGUUUUGUGCAGGGAGACCGUGCCUGAGAUAGAGGACCAUUCAGAGCUGCUCCAGAUCCCUCAUUCCCACCACUAGCAGCAGGAACAGGACUCCAAGCUACCAUCCUGGACACCGAAGGUAACGCAAUAUUCAUACAUGAUACACAUUAAAUUACGGCGCACACAUAAAAAUACACUAAUACUCUUAUCAGGCUACUUAAUUUGCCUAUCUAAGAAGACAAAAUACGGUGAUUCAGUUCCACCAUAUGGCCUUAAUGUGUUCAGCACACCACUACUUCAUAGUACCCCAAUAUCUGUGGGUCUUACACUAAAUCCAAAUUUGGGAUACAUAGUGCUUAACAUAAUUUGUUUCAUGUCCGUGUGUAUUUGUGUGUAUAUGUCAAUGUAUGCGUG